rnacentral:rRNA from 1 species
GACGAACGCUGGCGGCGUGCUUAACACAUGCAAGUCGAACGCUGAAGCUUGGUGCUUGCACUGUGUGGAUGAGUGGCGAACGGGUGAGUAAUACGUGAGUAACCUGCCCUUGACUCUGGGAUAAGCCUGGGAAACUGGGUCUAAUACUGGAUAUGACAUGCCACUGCAUGGUGGUGUGUGGAAAGGGUUUUACUGGUUUUGGAUGGGCUCACGGCCUAUCAGCUUGUUGGUGGGGUAAUGGCCUACCAAGGCGACGACGGGUAGCCGGCCUGAGAGGGUGACCGGCCACACUGGGACUGAGACACGGCCCAGACUCCUACGGGAGGCAGCAGUGGGGAAUAUUGCACAAUGGGCGGAAGCCUGAUGCAGCGACGCCGCGUGAGGGAUGACGGCCUUCGGGUUGUAAACCUCUUUCAGCACGGAAGAAGCGAGAGUGACGGUACGUGCAGAGGAAGCGCCGGCUAACUACGUG